GGAUCCGUGGCGCAAUGGUAGCGCGUCUGACGUCAGAUCAGAAGGUUGCGUGUUCGAUUCACGUCGGGUUCA
rnacentral:tRNA from 1 species